CGCGUAGGCGGCCCGGCAGGCCGGGGGUCGAAGCGGGGGGCUCAACCCCCCGAAGCCCCCGGAACCUCCGCGGCUUGGGUCCGGUAGGGGAGGGUGGAACACCCGGUGUAGCGGUGGAAUGCGCAGAUAUCGGGUGGAACACCGGUGGCGAAGGCGGCCCUCUGGGCCGUUACUGACGCUGAGGAGCGAAAGCGUGGGGAGCGAACA
rnacentral:rRNA from 1 species